CUGGUAUAGCAGGUGAUUGCUCAGAUUCUGAGAGGAAAGUCCGAGCUACAGAGACAGGAUUCCAUUUAACAAAUGGCUAGCGUAAGCUAAGGGAAAGUGCAACAGAAAAGAACCGCUAUUUUUUAUAGUAAGGGUGAAAAGGUGGGGUAAGAGCCCACCGGGAUUGAAGCAAUUCUCUCCGUCCGUGUAAACCCAAUCCGUAGCAAAAAGAGUAUGGUUAGUGUCUCAUUCUUCAAAACUCUUUGCUUGAGCGUCGUUGUAAAACCGCGCCUAGAUAAAUAAUCACUCAAUGACAGAACUCGGCUUAUCGCUAUACCAAAUUC
rnacentral:RNase_P_RNA from 2 species